rnacentral:rRNA from 1 species
CCCUUAGAUGUUCUGGGCCGCACACGCGCUACAAUGGCAAAGUCAACGAGCUUAUCCUAUGCUGACAAGCACAGGUAAUCUUUUCAGUCUUUGUCGUGAUGGGGAUAGACCCUUGUAAUUAUUGGUCUCCAACGAGGAAUUCCUAGUAAACGCAAGUCAUCAACUUGCAUUGAUUACGUCCCUGCCCUUUGUACACACCGCCCGUCGCACCUACCGAUUGAAUGGUCCGGUGAAGUCUUCGGACCGAUGCUGACUCGUUGGCAACGGAAAGUUGAGUAAACCUUACCAUUUAGAGGAAGGCGAAGUCGUAACA